rnacentral:misc_RNA from 1 species
UGCAGGUGCGACACUCAACGUACUGUGGCUCGCGACGGGACUGGCGGCAGAUGAAAGGGGACGGGAAGCCGAAAAAGGAUUGGUGCGCUUCUCUCUUUCAAUCGCCUCCGCUCCGAUUUCAGGCUUCGCUCCUUCACACCUGCUGUGCUUGUUGGAGCGCAUGCGGACGUCUCCGCGAGACGGCGCUACGGCGGCGGCCGCGACAUCCUUGGCGAGCAGCAUCAGCCAUCACCUCUCCUUGGAACUUGGCGACUCGUACGAAGGCGCUGUUGAGGUAAAGCAUGGCGUAGCCAUUCCCCAUGGACGUGGUGUUUGGCGCUCUGGGGACGGCCAAGUGCGGUACGAGGGCCACUUUGUGCAGCGCUGGCGUGACGGCUACGGACGCCUGUGCACACCGACGUUCACACUGUGGGCGCGGUGGCGGAUGGAUCGGCCUGACCUCUCCUCCUCUAUUCGUGUCGACUAUCCGAACGGGGAUCGCUACUGCGGUUUUGUGGAGCUGAAAGUGAAGCAGCCACCCUCCGCACAGACCCGCUCCAAGUUCAGCGCCUGGGCCGCCUCUGUGGAGCCGUCGCGGCACCGCUGGGGUGAGCUGGUGACGUCCAGCGGCGAUCGCUACGUUGGGGAGUGGGCGGAGAAUGAGCGCGAGGGCUUCGGGUGCUACGUGUGGGCCAGCGGGAGCCGGUACAUUGGUCGGUUCCGCCGCGGCCAGUUCCACGACACUGGUACUCUUUUCAUAUUUCCUGCCGAAGUGGAGGGGUGCCUCUCUCGCUUGUGCAGCGAUGGUGGAUGGAGUUGCGGGAGCGGCGAUGGCAAGGCACUCGCUGAGCGUCACGCACCAUGCGGGGCGGCUCGAUGGCCUCCGGCGUCGCGACCGGGAUGGGAUGGCGUCGUGCUGGAUGUGGUGUGGCGUGAUGGCAAAUGCAACGGUGAGGGGCACGUUACGCUGCCGUCUGGCGUUCGAAUAUCCGCCGACUGGCGCAGCGCCUGCAGCCCCGUAGAUGGAGAGCUCGUGCUGCCGAGUCUCACUCCACAGGCCCGCAUGGACACGGAGGUGUACGAGUGGCGCGAGAGCUUCCAGUGGGAGUCGCUGCUGAGCAACGCCGAUGCCAAGGCGCGCCGCAUCACUUAUGAGAAGGCUGACAUAUCUCGUGCAGACAUCAAGCAGUCCAACUCCACAGAGUACGUGCGCAGCUGCGUGCUUGAACUGCUCAACGCUCACAAGGUCGCCAAGACGGCUUUGCAUGUGUUCCGGCGCUGCUUCUACUGCCUGUAUGGUACUUGCGGUGUAGACACGGAAGUGGGUGCUGGUGGUCACGGCAACCCACUGGGGUGGUGCACGCUGCGUAACGCGUACGGCGGCUGCAUCCACCCAGCGGAGGGGCGGCGCAUCAGCGCUGCGGACCUUGACCUGGCUUUGCGUGAUAUUGCGUCGCUGGCGCGCUCGAUGGUGCGCUGGGUGCUGGACAUGGUAGGGCCGGAGCAGCAGUUGAAGGUGCUCGACUACGGAGGGGAGGCUCUGGUGGGCCGCUGGGUGGCAGACCGCGUCUUUCAGCACUGCUAUCCCGUCUUGCUAAACCUGUACAGCCAGGUGUACCGCGCGGAGGAGACGGCGCUGGCGGCGUCUGUAGCGCGGCUGCGCGAUGCCGUCACACUCGACGACAUCGGCGUUGUCUUUGCCCGCCAAAGCGAGAGUCAGGAGAAGCUCUUCGACCCGUACACGGACGCGGUGCACUGUGUAGAGAAGCUGAACAGCGAGGCGCAGACUCUCACGCAGCUGCUCAAGGUGUUGGUGCAAUGGUCCCGCGAGAUCGACCUCUCCACGCGCCUCACGCAGGCGUGCACCGAUGGACGGCAGAAGCCUGCGAGGAGCACCUCCGGCUCCGCCGAUGAUCUGCUGCCUAUUCAUCAGUAUGUGCUGAGCCAGUCUCGCUGCGGACGACUCUACGCCGUCACCAAAUUGCUGUCCGACUUUGCAGCCGAGCCGCUGUUUAUGGAGUCCACCUCGCAGGAGGCGUUCGGAGUCACGACACUGCAGGUGUGCGUGCUGACCCUGCUUCGCCUGCACCCGUGGGAGAGGGACGCGUCGAACAUUCUCGUACCGUUUUCUGUGGCGCUGGACGGCGUACGAGAGGCGGUGCAGCGGCGGGCGGCACUCGCAGUGUGGGUCCAUGACGCCUGCAGUGGUGCUUCUUUCCCGGCGUCGACAGAUGCGCCGACCUUGGAUGUGGUGGAGCGAGUGAUGAGCCGCUACGUGGCGCUGUGGGUUCCUCGCAUGGUUGGCUGGAUGGGCGAACACGCAAACGCCACCUCCGACCCUCAACCGGUCGACAAUGGCGAGUUCACGCAGGAAGAGCUCUCCCUCCUGUACCUUGGACCGCCUAUCGCUGACGGCGAGGAGGCGCUCUGCUUCUGCUGUUGGCUAUACGCCAGCGCUCUUUUAGAUUCGGUGCACAUGCGGCUUCUCCUCGGGCCCCAUACCGUGCCGCACCGCCUCAGUCGUGCCGAGGACGUGGCAGAGGCGUGUACACAGCUGCGGGGGUGGGCUGCAGGUGCAGGCGCCGCUGCGCCAAUGCAGUUGCAGGUCAAAGCAGCCGCUUCUUCACCGCCGGUUGUGCCAAGCCGUCUGCUGAGCCUGGAGAGCCACCUCACCGAGCUUCUCCACGAAUUUUAGUCCUCAGGCGCGUGCAUGCAUGCGGUGGCGGAGGUGAUGCCAUGAUAGGGUGGUCUGUGUGCACAUGUCGCGCCUGCUUCGCUCUCUCUCUCUCGCUGUUUUCGCCGUUUUGUGUGUGUUUGUGUGUGGCUCUUUGACACUUGUGGAAGACUUCGCCUGCCUGCCGCCUCGCUGCUGUUGCUACUCUGCGUGUGCCUCCGGCUUUCCCUCUAUGUCGUUGACCCACUUGGCUGGCGCUCGCUUGCUUCUCCCGUUUUCUUUGCUGUGCGACCCUUCGUCCAUUCGGUCUUGCCAUAUCCCUGUCUGCGCGUGUUGGCGUGUGCACUGAUGGUCUCUUGAUGCGCGUUUCACAUCUCUCCUUGCACUACUGCUGGUGAAUGCCGUUCUCUCCUCCCGAAUGGACGCAGCUGGGAGCCUUUCUUCCGCCUCGACCGUACACGUGAACACUUUCUGAAACCAAGCACGAGCGGCAUCGCCAGAGAUGAUAAACGAGCAAACACGCG